CUGGCUCUAACUGUACCUAAGAAGAUCAAGCAUAUAGAAGCACAUGUUGGUGCAGUAUUCUUCUCCACCCUUCGAAUUCUUGCUAGCUAGCUUUGGGCAAAAACAAUUGAGUAUACAUUUGCUGGAGGUGAGACAUUAUUGUGGAUCUGUUGGAAAAGGGCUCUUUUAAGAGGAAGGUGAAUGAGAUCAUAGGAAAGCACGGAACACUAAUGAACAUCCCUUCAUAAGAAAGGAAACUCCAUAUGGUAUUUGGGAUAUCAAUAAUUGAUAUUGAUGCAUAUAAAAGCCUAGAAUGAGAAAAAAAUAGACUGACCAUAUGUUGCUUAAUUGGCCGUGGCAUUUUGACAGAAUGAUUCAGAAUAGCAUAUUGUUGAAAUGAAUAUGAUGUAUCUUUUCUCUUAAAUGGCACUUCCUGUAGUAGCAUGCUGGAACUUCUAAAUCUAUUUUCUCUCUUUCACUAACAUGGUCAGUAGCUAACUCCGAAUUUUCUAUUCCUUUUUUUUUUCUUUUCGAAAAGGCAAGUUGAUCAUUCAUUUAUUAUUUACGGAAAAGGGUCAAAACUGCACCUAACCUAUUCGCUCAAGUUUAAAACUACCCUUCAUCCACCUAUUUUGUAAAAACUGCCCAUAACGUCAACUUUCCGCCCCACUCAUACCCUAGAAAACUAACGGCCUUAUUUUGAUUAAGAAAUUUUUUUAUUACAUAAUAUGUGUCAAUUUUCCAUUGGCUAAAAUUAAAACCUCACCUCACAUCCACUUAUUAGCCCACUCCAUGAUCCAAAAUAUACAUACCCGAUCCAUGACCCGCUUUUUAAGAUGCCCUAACUUCACCUCUCAACUUGUCCUCUUCCAUCCAUGUGCGGGACCUCCCGCUCCACAUUUUCUCUAAUCAUCCUCCUCCAUGGCCGAAGUACAAUAACUCACUAUUGCUGGCAGAGGACCACCAUCGGCUUCAACUUUCAUAUCUUCACCCUUCAAUACCCACGGAUCUCCUUCUCCCACUCAGAUUUUUUACCUUAAUUUAAUUUUUAAAUUAACAUUUUUUUGUUAAAUCAAUAUUCAUAGAGUGAAAUCUGGUAUCUUUGGAAUUAAAUUAAUGGUUCAUUUUAAGAUUUUAUGAUUUAAUAAAGUUAUCUUUUUGCCAAAGUUAUAUAUGCUGAGCUACCAUAUAGUUGUUUGGAGUUAAUUGAAAUCAUGUGAGCAAAUUAGCUUCACAGUUCGUCGGCGGUGAUUUGGUUGGGAAACGGUCGGCAAUGAUUUAGUUGGGGAAGAAGAACAAGGUAAGGGAUAGGUACCAUAUAAUAAAUUAAUAAAAAGAAAAAUAUGAAAUGUUGACAAAUAAAACCUAAAUAACGAUUGGAUCAUGAGUCGGGUAUGGAAUCGGGUGUUUGAGGGGCUAAAAAGGGUUUAACAGGUUGGAACGACUAAGAUGGAUCGUAGGUGGGUUAUUUACGGAUCAGAUCUGGGUUAGACUGAAAUUUUUAAUCUUGACCAAUAAGCAAUUGCCACGCCAUAUAUAAUUUUAUUUUAUUUUAUUCAGCAAAGGUCCGUCAGAAAUAAGGGUAUGAAUGUGCCAGUUUUUUAACGGUGAGGGAAAUUUUUACAAAAUAGGUGAACGAAGGGUAUUUUUAAACCUAAGCGAAUAGAUUAGGGGCAGUUUUGACCCUUUUCCGUAUUAUUUAAAAAUCCAACACUAAGGCAGUGCUGGUCAUUAUGAAAGAAGGGAUAUACCCCUGUAUAAAAGUAAUGAAACAAAUGGUCAGCUGAGAAUUAUCUAUUCACUGAGUACUGAAACAAGUGAAGAUUAAAGGAUGGUGCCUUAGUGGUUAGUAAAUUAGGAACCCAACGCCAGUAUUGCCUCCGCCCCUCCCUGCAAAUCUGAAUUGUCUUCUAAUAUUGGCAUUAGAGUUGAACAUGUCUCAUGCCUGGUCUUUCAGGUAUAGAUAUGAGUUCAAAUGGACACUCAAAGCCUCCCUCAUUAGUGUCCCUAUUCGGUCAGAUAGAUUUGGAAGAUACAAUAGAAGAGGACCAGAAAGGAGAACAACAGAUUUUAUGAGUCCAAUUACUUGUCCUCUUCACUGACAAGAACUGGGAAAUUUCUUUUGUACAAAAAGAGAAUAAACAAUAAGCUUUUAUUUUUACAUACACUGAUCUGAUUAUUAUUUAGUGGUAAAUUUUAAUGUACAUACACUGUAACAGAUACAUUCCUUGAUUUCUAUCAGAUUAUAUAAAUGGGGAAUUAUCAGUUUUGCUAAAACUACUUCAA